rnacentral:rRNA from 1 species
GACUGAUUAUUUUGUGACUGAGUGGCGGACGGGUGAGUAACGCGUGGGUAACCUGCCUUGUACAGGGGGAUAACAGUUGGAAACGGCUGCUAAUACCGCAUAAGCGCACGGCAUCGCAUGAUGCAGUGUGAAAAACUCCGGUGGUAUAAGAUGGACCCGCGUUGGAUUAGCUAGUUGGUGAGGUAACGGCCCACCAAGGCGACGAUCCAUAGCCGACCUGAGAGGGUGACCGGCCACAUUGGGACUGAGACACGGCCCAAACUCCUACGGGAGGCAGCAGUGGGGAAUAUUGCACAAUGGGCGAAAGCCUGAUGCAGCGACGCCGCGUGAGCGAAGAAGUAUUUCGGUAUGUAAAGCUCUAUCAGCAGGGAAGAUAAUGACGGUACCUGACUAAGAAGCACCGGCUAAAUACGUGCCAGCAGCCGCGGUAAUACGUAUGGUGCAAGCGUUAUCCGGAUUUACUGGGUGUAAAGGGAGCGCAGGCGGUGCGGCAAGUCUGAUGUGAAAGCCCGGGGCUCAACCCCGGUACUGCAUUGGAAACUGUCGUACUAGAGUGUCGGAGGGGUAAGCGGAAUUCCUAGUGUAGCGGUGAAAUGCGUAGAUAUUAGGAGGAACACCAGUGGCGAAGGCGGCUUACU